CUUGAGCGACCCGAGCCGCAGCGGUUCCUGCCUCCCGCGGCCGUAGGUGGCCAGGAUCGCCUGGGCCUC
rnacentral:antisense_RNA from 1 species